rnacentral:rRNA from 1 species
GUAGGGGGCUAGCGUUAUCCGGAAUUACUGGGCGUAAAGGGUGCGUAGGUGGUUUCUUAAGUCAGAGGUGAAAGGCUACGGCUCAACCGUCGUAAGCCUUUGAAACUGGGAAACUUGAGUGCAGGAGAGGAGAGUGGAAUUCCUAGUGUAGCGGUGAAAUGCGUAGAUAUUAGGAGGAACACCAGUUGCGAAGGCGGCUCUCUGGACUGUAACUGACACUGAGGCACGAAAGCGUGGGGAGCAAACAGGAUUAGAUACCCUGGUAGUCCACGCCGUAAACGAUGAGUACUAGCUGUCGGAGGUUACCCCCUUCGGUGGCGCAGCUAACGCAUUAAGUACUCCGCCUGGGAAGUACGCUCGCAAGAGUG